UCUUCAUAAAAUUGUAAAGACUCUGAUGCCCCUAUGAAAUUGCUUCUUCGUAGAGUUAUAAAACGUGAGAACGAACUUCCCCGAACCUCCGCCGUCUCUUACACCGUCUUCUCCGAAUUUUCUCCUCUUCUUCUCCGUCGCCAACCAGUUCUCCCUUGAAUCUCAAACCUUCUCCGCCCAAUCACCCAUCGCCACGUCCUCCUCUUCGAUCCACACCCUCUCCCUGCCUUCUUCCUUCUCUAAGAAAUCAGUUUUAGUCCUCUCCGCCUUAUCCACCGCGAUCACGUAAGCCUCCGUCUACGCUCCCGAUCACGACCAAUCGGACGGCAACGGCAGCCCUAGCAGAAACAGCCGUCUCUACGACUCUAUCGAGCACGCGGUUCAGAAAUCCGGAGCCUCGCUAAGGAGAGUCGUCCACCACGCCAGGCAAACCGGCGUCGCCGCUUCCGUUCUGUGGCAGUCGCUCAGGUCGGUUCUCUCGUCGAUCUCAUCUUCUUCUCAAAAUAACUCAAGAACCAAACCGAGGUUGUAAAUCUGAAGACUCCCAAAGUCAAGAUCACCCAAUUGGAAUUCAUUUUUUGUAUAACAGAACUGUAAUGGCUGAUAAUCGAUUGGCGAUCACAUAUGUAAAAAGAUCUUCAAGCUCUCACCGAAUGUAAAAGUGUACCAAAAUGAAGGAGAUUCCUAAGUUGUCAUAUUGUAUAACAUAGAAAGAGAGAUUGCAACAAAAGAAGGAAGAGAGUUGAAUGCUUGUCUUGCCAAUCAGGUCGUGUAGCUUGCCCUUACGUAGUACUUAUAAAAGCCAGAAAUGCCAUGUUUGAGUACAAAUUUUUCAAUCACUAACCAAACAAAAUUAACACCUUGUGUUUGUAUAUUUUCAUGUCGUCAAUGUGUGUUUGAGAAGAAUUGUUUGAGAGUUGGAGAAGAAAGCUCUGUAACCGGAGGAUCACAAUUACCAAACAUCAUGUCCAACAUUGCGGUGAAACAAAGGUUCGUUGGUCGAUACUGCCCACCAGCCUGGGAGACGGUGAAGUUUUCAACAAAUCGCCAUUCUCCAAUGGGUAAUUAACUAUGGAGGAAAUCGAUGGAUAAGGAAGGGAUAUAAGAGAUUUGGCAAUAUAUACCUUGGAGAAAAAGAAGGCGUGGGAUGAAAGUUUGGUUCAGAAAAAGAAGGCAAGAAUAUAUUAUUUGCUGCAACCGAGAAUAUAGCUUACUCUUUCUACCGAUAUUUUCAAUGUCGAUGGACCAGAAUUUGAAAGUUGGUUAGGAUACAUUGAUAGAUAUCUAACCGCUUUUUUCAAUGUCAAUGGACCAAAAUUUGGUUUGAAUUAUGGCAAAGCAAAUUUACGAAAAUGACAUUAAUGAAGACAGCAAAUUAAACGUUUUA